rnacentral:tRNA from 1 species
GGUUGUAGCUCAGUGGUAGAGUGCUUGCCUUGCAUGCAUGAGGCCCUAGGUUUGGUCCCCAGCACCA